UACGUAGGGGGCUAGCGUUGUCCGGAAUCAUUGGGCGUAAAGAGCGUGUAGGCGGUCCGGUAAGUCUGCUGUGAAAGUCGGGGGCUCAACCCUCGAAUGCCGGUGGAUACUGUCGGGCUAGAGUGCGGAAGAGGCGAGUGGAAUUCCUGGUGUAGCGGUGAAAUGCGCAGAUAUCAGGAGGAACACCUAUUGCGAAGGCAGCUCGCUGGGACGUAACUGACGCUGAGACGCGAAAGCGUGGGGAGCGAACAGG
rnacentral:rRNA from 1 species